CAAACAAUCCGGGGGUCAUGGCGGACAAGCAACUCAACACCAGCUCCCAGUGUGAUGCUGUGUCAAAAAAGGCUAAUGCGUAAACAGUGGAGUAGUGAGUAGCAAUAGAUUCUCUCACCUGGAAGAAUCCAGAGGCCUGCAGGGCAGAUGUACAUUUGUAGUCAGGCAUUGCCCGAUAUGCGACAGCGUUUUGCUCAACUGCGCAAACCGGUUGGCUCAACAGCUUUAGGCCCACAUACAAAGCCUGUCACCUGCUCCAAUCCAAGAGCUGCAUGGAUCUUUUAAAUCUUCAAUUGCUGCUGUUCUAAACUCUAUUAAGAACAUGAGAGAACGAAGAAAUGAAGAUUUACCGUCUUUUCAAACCCCCCGUUGAUUCGAGGCAGAGGCAUACGGGAUCCUGCCAAAGAAACCACCUCAUGGGCCUCUCCUUCAAGGUGCUUCCCUUCUCUUUGGCUGCUGAACCACAACUAGAAUUCUAAACCUGCUGUUUCCAACCUUCUCUCAAGAAGCCUAGCUUGGAACCUCCACACUUGGUGCUGUCGAUCUUCCUCAGCAAGGGCCAGCAGCUGGGACUCUUUGGGCAGGGGAGGUAUCCCAGAUGAGUUUUUGCAAGCCUUCAGGACCUCUGGAGAGGCCCCACACACCUGGGAGCCAAACGCACCCAUGACCUGUGGCCCUGGGCUACGAAGAAUCUGCACAUGAAUCACCACAGCACAAGGUAUUUCAUACUGCUGAUCUUGGAAAGUCUACAUGGGAAGGGUAGAGGCUCCUCUGGGAUGUGACGCCACCCUCACCCUGCACCAGGAAAAUGGUAACCGCUAUUAACCUGAUGUGCAGUGGGGAGGCACUGACAGGAAAAGCAGUGUGACCAACAGGAAGCAUGGGGUCCACACCAACCACUGACCAGUGCAACACAGCCCCAACCCCUGCCUGGCAGGGAAAGUCCAGGGCUACCAUGCCAACUGCUGACGAGUGCAUGAUGACCCUGAGGGCCUGUGACCCAGAACGCACUCACUGUGAAUGCAUCAUGCCUGGGACAAUCCCCUUGUGCCAAUGUCGCUGGUUUGCUUCCAGCAUAACGAGGUGUUCAGACAUUAAGCCCGGACAGCAUAUCUAGUCCCACAGAGGGGGAAAUUCACGUCACCUAGAGC